rnacentral:rRNA from 1 species
GUAUUAAAGGCGACGCUGCCCAGUGAAAAUUAAACGGCCGCGGUAUCCUAACCGUGCAAAGGUAGCAUAAUCAUUUGUCUAUUAAUUGUAGACCUGUAUGAAAGGCAAAAUGAGAGCCCAACUGUCUCUUAUAACAAAUCAAUUAAACUGAUCUCCUAGUACAAAAGCUAAGAUACUAACAUAAGACCAGAAGACCCUGUGAAGCUUUAACUAACCUAUUAAACCCAAUAAUAACUACUUUCGGUUGGGGCGACCUUGGAAUAAAAAAGAACUUCCAAUUUAUGACUUUCAUCAUAAAACAGGCAAACAAGCCUACASUAGACCCAGUACAGCUGACAAUUGAAACAAGUUACUCCAGGGAUAACAGCGCUAUCUUCUUUAAGAGCCCAUAUCAAAAAGAAGGUUUACGAACUCGAUGUUGGAUCAGGACACCCCAGUAAUGCAACCAUUACUAAAGGUUCGUUUGUUCAACGAUUAACAGUCCUACGUCAUCUGAG